rnacentral:rRNA from 1 species
CCUACGGGCGGCAGCAGUGGGGAAUAUUGGACAAUGGGCGCAAGCCUGAUCCAGCAAUGCCGCGUGUGUGAAGAAGGCCUUCGGGUUGUAAAGCACUUUUAUCAGGAACGAAAAGCGUUGGAUUAAUACUCUGACGUGCUGACGGUACCUGAGGAAUAAGCACCGGCUAACUUCGUGCCAGCAGCCGCGGUAAUACGAAGGGUGCAAGCGUUAAUCGGAAUUACUGGGCGUAAAGCGUGCGUAGAUGGUUCGCUAAGUCGGAUGUGAAAGCCCCGGGCUCAACCUGGGAACUGCAUCCGAUACUGGCGGACUAGAGUGUGAUAGAGGAUGGCGGAAUUCCCGGUGUAGCGGUGAAAUGCGUAGAGAUCGGGAGGAACAUCCGUGGCGAAGGCGGCCAUCUGGAUCAACACUGACGUUGAGGCACGAAAGCGUGGGGAGCAAACAGGAUUAGAUACCCCAGUAGUC